UACGUAGGGAGCAAGCGUUGUCCGGAAUCAUUGGGCGUAAAGCGCGCGUAGGUGGCCCCGUAAGUCCGCUGUGAAAGUCAAAGGCUCAACCUUUGAAAGCCGGUGGAUACUGUGGGGCUAGAGUACGGAAGAGGCGAGUGGAAUUCCUGGUGUAGCGGUGGAAUGCGCAGAUAUCAGGAGGAACACCGAUGGCGAAGGCAGAUCUCUGGGCCGUAACUGACGCUGAGGAGCGAAAGCAUGGGGAGCGAACAGG
rnacentral:rRNA from 1 species